rnacentral:rRNA from 1 species
GAUGAACGCUGGCGGCGUGCCUAAUACAUGCGAGUCGAGCGAACAGACCAGGCGCUUGCUCCUCUGACGUUAGCGGCGGACGGGUGCGUCACACGUGGAUAACCUACCUAUAAGACUGGGCUACCUUCGGGAAACCGGAGCUAAUACCGGAUGAUAUAUUGAACAGCAUUGUUCAAUAGUGAAAGACGGUUUUGCUGUCACUUAUAGCUGGCUAAGCGCACCAUUCGUUAGUUGGCAAGGUAACGGAUUAACCAGGCAACGACGCGUAGACGACCUGAGAGGGACAACGGUCACAUUGUAAGUGAGACACGUUCGAGACUCCGACGGGAGGAAGCAGUAGGGAAUCUUCCGCGAGGGAGGAAAGCGUGACGGAGCAACGCCGCGUGAGUGAUGAAGGACUUCGGAUCGUAAAACUCUGUUAGUAGUGAAGAACAAAUGUGUAAGUAACUAUGCACGUCUUGACGGUACCUAAUCAGAAAGCCACGGCUAACUACGUG